GUCCGUCCGUCAGUCCGUCCGUCCGGGUGGCGUUCACUGCCUGCCCUGCGCAGGCGCGCGAGGCCCGUGAGACAGAGGCUUCGCUCGCGGCUGUGCCCGGCUGCCUGGCUCCGUAAACGCCCGAGUGAGGGCCUCCACUCAGCACCCUACCCCGGCUGAAUCUGAGACUGGGAGAGCUUCCCCACCCACACGCCAUCCCAGAGGAAGAGCAAACACAGCCCGUGGAAAAUGAAGCCCUGUUCUGUGGGUCACAAAGGCAAACCCCCAGAAGAGAAGCCAACACGGAAGGCAGCAGGAUCGAGUCCCUAAAUCUCAAGCUCGCAGCGUGCAUGCUGUCCAGUGCUCCCGCUUGGAAAGUCAGAGAGGAAAG
rnacentral:lncRNA from 1 species